rnacentral:ribozyme from 1 species
GCGCUCUGGCGGUGGGAUGACUGGCCGAAACGCCCGGCAGCAGCAAGGCCAAACAGGCGGUGUGGAUGUGGGGUUUUCCGAUGAUCUCUUCUUGAAGCGUGUGCUGCAAGAGGCUCA